AAACCCUCAAGCUCAGCUUGGUGUUGGGUGCUUGUCCUGCCUCCGCGCGGCGACUCACCUCAAAAUCAGUGGCAGCCCGCAUCCGCCGGCCGUGAGCGCAGCACAAACGCGCCCUAGGUCCUGGCAGGUCGGCUCUCCAAAAGCCCAUUUUACCAC
rnacentral:misc_RNA from 1 species